rnacentral:rRNA from 1 species
AACGAACGCUGGCGGCAGGCCUAACACAUGCAAGUCGAACGCAUCGCAAGAUGAGUGGCGCACGGGUGAGUCACACGUGGGAAUGUACCCUUUGGUUCGGAAUAACGUCUGGAAACGGACGCUAAUACCGGAUGAGCCCUGUGGGCGACAGAUUGAUCGCCAAAGGAGCAGCCCGCGUCUGAUUAGGUAGUUGGUGGGGUAAAGGCCUACCAAGCCGACGAUCAGUAGCUGGUCUGAGAGGAUGAUCAGCCACACUGGGACUGAGACACGGCCCAGACUCCUACGGGAGGCAGCAGUGGGGAAUAUUGGACAAUGGGCGGAAGCCUGGUCCAGCCAUGCCGCGUGAGUGAUGAAGGCCUUCGGGUUGUAAAGCUCUUUCGCACGCGACGAUGACGACGGUAGCGUGAGAAGAAGCCCCGGCUAACUUCGUGCCAGCCGCCGCAGUAA